rnacentral:rRNA from 1 species
UUUCCGGUUGAUCCUGCCGGAGGCUAUUGCUAUCAGGGUUUGACUAAGCCAUGCGAGUCGAGAGGUGAAAGACCUCGGCAUACUGCUCAGUAACACGUGGAUAAUCUGCCCUCAGGUGAGGAAUAAUCCCGGGAAACUGGGGCUAAUGCCUCAUAGGAGACGGGUGCUGGAAUGCUCUGUCUCCGAAAGGUCCGCCGCCUGAGGAUGAGUCUGCGUCCGAUUAGGUUGUUGUUGGGGUAACGGCCCAACAAGCCUUUGAUCGGUACGGGUUGUGGGAGCAAGAGCCCGGAGAUGGAUUCUGAGACAUGAAUCCAGGCCCUACGGGGCGCAGCAGGCGCGAAAACUUUACAAUGCGAGCAAUCGUGAUAAGGAAACCCUGAGUGCCUGUCAAUGCAGGCUGUUCUGGUGUCUAACACACACCAGGAGAAAGGGCGGGGCAAGACCGGUGCCAGCCGCCGCGGUAAUACCGGCUGCUCGAGUGAUAGCCACUUUUACUGGGCUUAAAGCGUUCGUAGCUUGGUCGUUAAGUCUCUGGGGAAAUCUUUUGGCUCAACCAAAAGGCGUCUCAGGGAAACUGACGAUCUUGGAACCGGGAGAGGUAAGACGUACUUCGGGGGUAGGAGUGAAAUCUUGUAAUCCCCGAGGGACGACCGAUGGCGUAGGCAUCUUACCAGAACGGCUUCGACAGUGAGGGACGAAAGCUGGGGGAGCAAACCGGAUUAGAUACCCGGGUAGUCCCAGCCGUAAACGAUGUGCGUUAGGUGUGUCAGUGAUCACGAGUCGCUGAGGUGCCGAAGGGAAACCGUGAAACGCACCGCCUGGGAAGUACGGUCGCAAGGCUGAAACUUAAAGGAAUUGGCGGGGGAGCAC